UCCCUGGUGGUGCAGCGGGUUAAGGAUCUGGCAUUGUCACUGCUGUGGUUUGGGUUCAAUCCCCGGCCUGGGAA
rnacentral:tRNA from 1 species